CCUGCUCAAUGAAAUUUAAAUAGCCGCUUUUGUGCUAAGGUAGCAUAAUAAUUUGUCUUUUAAUUAAAGACUAGAACAAAAGGUUUAACAUCUCAAUUAAUGUUUAAUAAAAAACUAUUUAAAUUAUUUUAAUUGUAAAAAAACAAUUUUAAAAAAGAAAGACGAUAAGACCCUAUCGAACUUUACUUUAGUUUAACUGGGGCAGUUAAUUAAUUAUUAUUUUAACUUAAAUAAAUAUCUAAUUUGACCUAAUAUUAUUAAUAAAAUAACUAAGUUACCGUAGGGAUAACAGCGUAAUAAAAUUUUUAAGAUCUUAUUUAAAAUAAAGAUUGCGACCUCGAUGUUGAUUUAAUAUCCUAAUUUACGCAAUAGUUAAUUAAGGAAGUCUGUUCGACUUUUAAAAAAUUACAUGAUUUGAGUUCAGACCGGUGUAAACCAGGUCGGUUUCUAUCUUCUAAAAAAAUUCUUCUAGUACGAAAGGACCUAAGAAAAUAAUAAUAUU
rnacentral:rRNA from 1 species